GUAAGCGCUAACACCAUAUUAACCCUUAUGAGAUAUUAACUUUAUUGUUCGGAUUUAUUCGAACUCAAUCAAAGCUUUGGCUUUGUUUGACGCCUCCCCUGUAUAUCUUCAAGAGCCGCUUUUGCGGCUCUCUUUUU
rnacentral:sRNA from 1 species